GCCAGGCAUGGUGGUGCAUGCCUGUAAUCCCUGUGGCGAGGAAGGCUGAGAUAGGAGGAUCGCAAGUUCAAAGCCAGCCUCAGCAAAGGCGAGGGACUAAGUAACUUAGUGAGACCCUGUCUCUA
rnacentral:sRNA from 1 species